GGGAGGGGAGAGGGCUGUGGGACGAGCGCAACAGCGGGGGGAACUUCACCGACUGGGAGGCGCUGGCCAAGGACCUCCUGAAACCGUACGACGAGCAGCUGUACCACUCCUUCACCAUCGGCGUCUCCCCGGACACUGACACGAAGGUCUGGACGUUUUGGAAAGCGAUGUUCUUUUGUUCGACCAUCACCACGACUAUCGGUGAGUUGCUGUAUGUUUUUAUUUUAUUUUAUUUUUAUUUUGUUUUAGUGUGGGUGUCGUUUAUAUUUUUCGUCCGUUUUAUUCAAGGGGUGUUUAUAUUUUUUGUCUUUAUUUUGCUGUUGUUGUUGUUGAUUUUAUAAGGUGGUUUUCGUUGCUUUUUUUCAUGAAUUCUGGUGAAAUUUAUCUUUUAUUUCUUUAUUGCCUUUUUAUCAUCCACGAAAAGAAACGAAAGAAAGAAAACUUUCACUUUUCGAGCGAAAAAAUAUCCAGGUUUCACUAUAUCGCAAAGAAUAUCAAAGUACCUUUUAUCAUGCGAAAAAAUAAUGAAUACAUUUUAAGAGUUCACGAGCACACGAAUCAUUAAUAUGAUAUU
rnacentral:misc_RNA from 1 species